UUUAUUGCUUAUCACUAUUUACAUUUAUAAUAACAAAUACAUGUAUCAGAAAAAUGUACAUGUACAGCCAAGAAAAUAAGCAAAUGGGUCGGGCCACAAUUUCUUACAAAAUUAGUUAAAGACCCUUCCCAAUAGAAAUAACAUAAAGUAACUAGGCGGGGAAAACAAAAUAAAUAUGAGAAGUUGUGUUAUUAAUUAUUAUUACUAUUAUUAUUAAAUCACACACAGUUCUAAUUUUUAUUGGCCAACACACUUGUCGUUGUAAGAGUAAACGACAGCUGGUGACAGUGACGUAUAUAAUGCGGCGAUAUAUAUGUAUAUUUUUUUUGAAGUUCAGUGCGUCAAACGGGAACGGGUAGUAAAAUAUUUUUUUUUCUCGUGAAAAAAAAAAACACAAAAAGUAAUGGCGUUAUUAGGGUUGGAUGAAAAGAAACAUUGAUUGAAACAUUUUAUCGCUAAAGUACAUGGAAUAAGACGGAGGUCCUUUUAUUUGAUUCUAUAGUUGAAAAAGGCAAUAUGGAGAAUAUGCAGAAUAUGCUGGCAGUUUUGUUGCUAUAGCAAAAAUAACUACUCCAGCAGGGUUGUAUGCGGCUCUAAAAGCCCGGCAAUGGUUUGGUUCAAUGAUUAUAUUCGGUGCUUAUGUGCAUUUAUAAAGGAAUGGUGCAAUUUAACAAAUAGGAAAAUGUGGCCUUCGGUAUUGUUCAAGGACAGUUUCUAGAGGAUGAAAUAAAGGACUCGUAGUAAUACUAUACAGACCACCAUUAAGAUGAAUGCCAAGACAGCAGUAACAUCGGUCAAAUAAAUAAAACGUUGAGGAAUUCCAUAGGUGCUGUUUAACAUGUCAUUCUAAUGAUGUAACAAUUUUCAUGGAUCAUGGGAAAUGAAUAUUCUAUUCAGAAGGACAGUGCAGGUUGUUGUAAUGCUAAAAAAACUGCUUGUUGGAUUGUCAUCGUUGGACUUCAUUACUAACGUCAAUCUUUUCACGCAUUUGAGACUGAACACUUAAUGUUUUCCUGUGAGAAAUGUUUCGGCAUGGAAUUACGUACACUAAUAAUAUGGAGAAAAAAAGGAUGAAAAACGUUUUUCACAUGAUCUAUAAUUUCAGUGUUGCAUUAUUUGUUUCCGAAUUGGAAACAUUCAAGAAGUAACAUUGCAGACUUGAUGUUUAUACGCGGUUCUUUUUAUUCUCGUGCCACUUUACAUAUUCGAAGUUUAUAAAGGUCCAUUUGAUUUCAAUAUAAUGUUUGUGAUUGAAUUGUGUAUUAAACUUCAAAUAAACUUCAUAGUUGCAUGUUUUGAUUUACGUUUAUUCACAGAAAAAUAUCAAUUAUGCCAGUGUUUUAUAAAACUGAGUAUUCCAGCUUUAGGAUGCGAUGGAAACAGGCAAUUUUAAAGAAAAAUACUCAAAAAGAGUUGCAGUAUAUCAUAUAUGUAUUUACUUGGAAAAUUUCUUUCAAUAAGAACCCGCUUCCUAGUCUGAUAAAUAGAAUAAUGUAUGUAAUACAUAAGUUUGAUAAUACACUAGUGUAGUAAAGCAUUGACAUUGACGUUGACGUCAUUUAUUUCUUGGAGACGUUGGGUGAAUUUACUUGGUCUAUAAUAGGUA